UCUAGUAUGGCAGAAUAGUGCAAUGAAUUUAAGCUUCAUAUAUAAAGAAAUAUCUUUUACUAGAA
rnacentral:tRNA from 1 species